rnacentral:rRNA from 1 species
CCUACGGGAGGCAGCAGUGAGGAAUAUUGGUCAAUGGGCGGGAGCCUGAACCAGCCAAGUCGCGUGAGGGAAGACGGUCCUAUGGAUUGUAAACCUCUUUAGGCGGGGAGCAAUGCCGGGCACGCGUGCCCGGAGGGAGAGUACCCGCAGAAUAAGCAUCGGCUAACUCCGUGCCAGCAGCCGCGGUAAUACGGAGGAUGCGAGCGUUAUCCGGAUUUAUUGGGUUUAAAGGGUGCGUAGGCGGAUUUUUAAGUCAGCAGUAAAAUGUCCGGGCUCAACCGUGGAAUUGCAGUUGAAACUGGAGGCCUGGAGUGCACACAGGGAUGCCGGAAUUCAUGGUGUAGCGGUGAAAUGCUUAGAUAUCAUGAAGAACUCCGAUCGCGAAGGCAAGUGGCCGGGGUGCAACUGACGCUGAGGCUCGAAAGUGCGGGUAUCAAACAGGAUUAGAUACCCCGGUAGUC